GAUGAAGAACGUAGCGAAAUGCGAUACGUAGUGUGAAUUGCAGAAUUCAGUGAAUCAUCGAAUCUUUGAACGCACAUUGCGCCCGCCAGUAUUCUGGCGGGCAUGCCUGUUCGAGCGUCAUUUCAACCAUCAAGCCCCCGGGCUUGUGUUGGGGACCUGCGGCUGCCGCAGGCCCUGAAAAGCAGUGGCGGGCUCGCUGUCACACCGAGCGUAGUAGAUUUUAUCUCGCUCUGGGCGUGCUGCGGGUUCCGGCCGUUAAACCACCCUUUUAACCCAAGGUUGACCUCGGAUCAGGUAGGAAGACCCGCUGAACUUAAGCAUAUCAAUAAGCGGAGGA
rnacentral:misc_RNA from 1 species